rnacentral:RNase_P_RNA from 1 species
AAGGCAGGUUGUCCUGUCGCUUUCCGCGCAAGCGGAAGGAGGAAAGUCCGGGCAACGCAGAGCAGCAUACUUCCUAACGGGAAGCCGGUUUGCCGCAAGGCAGGCCGCGAGACAGUGCCACAGAAAACAACCGCCGAUGUGCCGUUCGCGGUGCAGGCAAGGGUGAAAACGUGAGGUAAGAGCUCACGACUGCUGCAGGUGACUGCCGCAGGGGGUAAACCUUAUGCGUUGAAAGGCCAAAUAUACCGGGGCUUGAGGGCGGCUCGCCCGAUCCCGGAGGGUAGGCCGUUAGAGCUGUUGCGCAAGUAACAGUCCAGACAAAUGACAGGAGUCCCGGUUUUCCGGGAAACAGAACCCGGCUUACAGACCUGCCUUUUCU